UACGUAGGGGGCUAGCGUUGUCCGGAAUCAUUGGGCGUAAAGCGCGCGUAGGCGGUCAGGAAAGUCCGGUGUGAAAGUCAUAGGCUCAACCUAUGGAUGCCGCUGGAAACUGCCUGACUUGAGUCCGGAAGGGGCGAGUGGAAUUCCGGGUGUAGCGGUGGAAUGCGUAGAGAUCCGGAAGAACACCAGUGGCGAAGGCGGUCUGCUGGGCGGUGGAUCCGCAAGGGUCCAAUAGCCGACACUGAGGCGCGACAGCGUGGGGAGCAAACAGG
rnacentral:rRNA from 1 species